CACGAAUGGCGUAAUGAUGGCCAGGCUGUCUCCACCCGAGACUCAGUGAAAUUGAACUCGCUGUGAAGAUGCAGUGUACCCGCGGCAAGACGGAAAGACCCCGUGAACCUUUACUAUAGCUUGACACUGAACAUUGAGCCUUGAUGUGUAGGAUAGGUGGGAGGCUUUGAAGUGUGGACGCCAGUCUGCAUGGAGCCGACCUUGAAAUACCACCCUUUAAUGUUUGAUGUUCUAACGUUGGCCCGUAAUCCGGGUUGCGGACAGUGUCUGGUGGGUAGUUUGACUGGGGCGGUCUCCUCCUAAAGAGUAACGGAGGAGCACGAAGGUUGGCUAAUCCUGGUCGGACAUCAGGAGGUUAGUGCAAUGGCAUAAGCCAGCUUGACUGCGAGCGUGACGGCGCGAGCAGGUGCGAAAGCAGGUCAUAGUGAUCCGGUGGUUCUGAAUGGAAGGGCCAUCGCUCAACGGAUAAAAGGUACUCCGGGGAUAACAGGCUGAUACCGCCCAAGAGUUCAUAUCGACGGCGGUGUUUGGCACCUCGAUGUCGGCUCAUCACAUCCUGGGGCUGAAGUAGGUCCCAAGGGUAUGGCUGUUCGCCAUUUAAAGUGGUACGCGAGCUGGGUUUAGAACGUCGUGAGACAGUUCGGUCCCUAUCUGCCGUGGGCGCUGGAGAACUGAGGGGGGCUGCUCCUAGUACGAGAGGACCGGAGUGGACGCAUCACUGGUGUUCGGGUUGUCAUGCCAAUGGCACUGCCCGGUAGCUAAAUGCGGAAGAGAUAAGUGCUGAAAGCAUCUAAGCACGAAACUUGCCCCGAGAUG
rnacentral:rRNA from 1 species